rnacentral:lncRNA from 1 species
UCACGGCCCACCGCAAGAAGCACGAGGAGGCCAUCCACGCUGUUGCCUGCCACCCCAGCAAGGCCCUCAUUGCCAGUGCUGGCGCUGAUGCCCUGGCCAAGGUCUUCGUAUGAUGCCCACCUGGCCCUGCCCUGGCCGCCACGCUGGCUGGGGUGUAGGGCCGGGCAGGUGGGGCUGAGGGGACUCCCAGCCUCGCUGGAGGUGCAGAGGCCUGGCCUCUGUCUGUUUGCCAUGGAGCCUGGUGGUGCUAACGGCCCUUUCCCCAGGAAUCCCUCCCCAACGGCUGCCUUCCCCAAGCAUCCAGCCUGGGGAUGGGCCCCUUUCAGGAAUCACCCCCGAGGAUGGCCUCGGGGUUUCCCCCUGUGCCCUGACAGCCGCUCCUGGUAUCAGAGCUGCUUUCCAGAGGGCAGCACAGCCAGGGCCGGGUGUCUUUAGGGAUCAGUUUUUCCAAGACUCCAGAAGGUGCCAGGUUCUCCCCUUGAGCUCCUGCUCCCCCAUCCCCCAUCCUCCCAGACCUGGGCAGGAGCUGUGCUGGGAGAAAGGGUGGCAGCCGGGAGCCUCAGAGCUGAGCCCCGGCCUGGCUGCCCCUCCCCUCCGGCCCUCUCCACUGCUUUCCAGACACUAACCAAGGCUUCCAGGCCAGGGAUUGCCCAACACUCCUAGGGCAGCCCUCCCAGCGCCCCAUGGGGUCGCCCAUGGGUAGAGACGGCUUUCUUGUGCCCCUCCCUGGGGCAUGGAGGGUGGAGUGGGCCUCGGGUCCCCCUGAACUCCCUGUAUAUCUGUAUAAAUAACGGGAUUUUCAUGGCGCCGCCCCACCCGCAUUAUCACUGUGUGAUGGUCUCAGUCAGUCUCCUCCCUGUCUCCACUCUUUCCCUCUAUUUAUUUCACUCUCUUGUUUGGUUCUACCCUGCACCCUCGGUCCCCUUCCAGGUUCCUGUUUAUAAGCCCCAACCCCUCUGUCCCCAUCUUGUAUGUGAAAACUUGUCUCAAUAAACCCUUUGGAGUAA